rnacentral:rRNA from 1 species
UACGAGGGGGGCGAGCGUUGUUCGGAAUUAUUGGGCGUAAAGGGUGCGUAGGCGGUUCCGCAAGUCCUGUGUGAAAUCUUCGGGCUCAACUCGAAGUCUGCACGGGAAACUGCGGGGCUUGAGUGUGGGAGAGGUGAGUGGAAUUCCCGGUGUAGCGGUGAAAUGCGCAGAUAUCAGGAGGAACACCGAUGGCGAAGGCAGGUCUCUGGGCCACUACUGACGCUGAGAAGCGAAAGCAUGGGGAGCGAACAGG